rnacentral:rRNA from 1 species
AAGAGGAGCUUGCUCCUCGGAUCAGUGGCGGACGGGUGAGUAACACGUGAGCAACCUGGCUCUAAGAGGGGGACAACAGUUGGAAACGACUGCUAAUACCGCAUGAUGUAUCGGGAUGGCAUCUUCCUGAUACCAAAGAUUUAUCGCUUAGAGAUGGGCUCGCGUCUGAUUAGAUAGUUGGCGGGGUAACGGCCCACCAAGUCGACGAUCAGUAGCCGGACUGAGAGGUUGAACGGCCACAUUGGGACUGAGACACGGCCCAGACUCCUACGGGAGGCAGCAGUGGGGGAUAUUGGACAAUGGGGGAAACCCUGAUGCAGCGACGCCGCGUGGAGGAAGAAGGUCUUCGGAUUGUAAACUCCUGUUGUUGAGGAAGAUAAUGACGGUACUCAACAAGGAAGUGACGGCUAACUACGUGCCAGCAGCCGCGGUAAAACGUAGGUCACAAGCGUUGUCCGGAAUUACUGGGUGUAAAGGGAGCGCAGGCGGGAAGGCAAGUUGGAAGUGAAAUCCAUGGGCUCAACCCAUGAACUGCUUUCAAAACUGUUUUUCUUGAGUAGUGCAGAGGUAGGCGGAAUUCCCGGUGUAGCGGUGGAAUGCGUAGAUAUCGGGAGGAACACCAGUGGCGA